ACCAGCCCGUUUGGCAGCUAUAAUUAUUUCUUCAAGGCCUUUCCUCUCUUCAAGCCCUUUCACAGGUCUUGAAGAGCAAAAUUUUGAUCUUGUUCUCUUGUUUAUUCACAAAGGGGUGGUGAAUGUAAGGUCUACACUUUGGCUGAGGUCUCCCAACACAAUACCGCCAAGGAUUGUUGGCUGAUUAUUAGUGGCAAGGAUGACUACUUGUUUAAAUAAAUGUUGUGAAAGGUGCUCGCCAUAGCGCCUUUGGCGAGAACCGGAGAGUCGAGGCAAUCCCACGGAGGCGAGAAAUGGCUAGAGGCGAUGCGGCUAGAAAAGCAACAACAGCGUCAACUUUUUUUUCAAUUAAAAAGUAUAUCAUGUGACAAAAUUCUUGGAUGACCACCCUGGAGGUGAUGAGGUUCUGAUAUCUGCAACUGGUAA